GAGUUUGAUCCUGGCUCAGGACGAACGCUGGCGGCGUGCCUAACACAUGCAAGUCAGGGGGAAAGGGGUAGCAAUAUCCCGAGUACACUGGCGCACGGGUGAGUAACGCGUAGGCAACCUGCCUUCAGGACGGGGAUAAUUCAGCGAAAGCUGGACUAAUACCCGAUGACAUUCUGUUGCAGCAUUGUAACGGAAUCAAAAGCCCGCAAGGGUGCCCGGAGAUGGGCCUGCGUCCCAUUAGGUAGUUGGUGAGGUAACGGCUCACCAAGCCAACGAUGGGUAGCUGGUCUGAGAGGAUGAUCAGCCACACUGGAACUGAGACACGGUCCAGACACCUACGGGAGGCAGCAGUGGGGAAUUUUGGACAAUGGGCGCAAGCCUGAUCCAGCAAUGCCGCGUGAGUGAAGAAGGCCUUCGGGUUGUAAAGCUCUUUUGUCAGG
rnacentral:rRNA from 1 species